rnacentral:misc_RNA from 1 species
AAGUCGUAACAAGGUUUCCGUAGGUGAACCUGCGGAAGGAUCAUUAGUGAACUGUAUUGAGAGCUCGUAAGGGUUUUCUUUCUUGUGAACUGGUUGUUGAUUGGCUAUUUUUGAAUGGCAGGAAUGUGUGCGCUUUUUUCUUUGUUUGGGGUUUACUGUUUGGAAUGAGAGAAAGCAGCAGCACACGGCUUGCCAUUCAAAAAUACCGGUCGGCAAUUUACUGUUUGUCAUUUUUUUGAUUUUUAUUCAAUAAGACAACUUUCAGCAAUGGAUCUCUUGGCUCUU